rnacentral:lncRNA from 1 species
AAAACUGCAUGAUGAAGUGGUGAAGAAGAAAAAAGAAUCGAAAUUGAGAAGGAGCAGCGAUCCAAUUUGAAGAAAAAAUCACUAAUACGUAACUGAGAAAAAACAAUGUACUUGUACAUCAGGAUGUAGGGGGGGGGGGGGGGGGGGGGAACAAUUUGUGGGUCGCUGCUCAGUUCCAUCGACGAGGACAGCAGGGUCCUCUUUGCUGCCGCCGUGCGUGUGCGCUGCUCCUUGAUUCUGGGGGCCGCUCGCGCUCCUCACCAUCUGUGGUGUCGCGUCGCUCGGAGCACCGAAGCGCCGGGAGGGAGGGCAGUGGGGGAGGCCAGAAGGGGACGGAUCAGAUCGGUAGUGGUAGGGAGAAGCCGAGAAGGGCAGCGAGGGCACGGCGGCGCCGGCGCGCCCGCCGCUGCAGGUCUGUGGCGGCGCAACGCGGGGGACGCUGCUCUACUCGGUGAGAGAUUGACGACAUGCAGUUGUG